rnacentral:rRNA from 1 species
GAUGAACGCUGGCGGCGUGCCUAAUACAUGCAAGUCGAACGAAACUUCUUUAUCACCGAGUGCUUGCACUCACCGAUAAAGAGUUGAGUGGCGAACGGGUGAGUAACACGUGGGCAACCUGCCCAAAAGAGGGGGAUAACACUUGGAAACAGGUGCUAAUACCGCAUAACCAUAGUUACCGCAUGGUAACUAUGUAAAAGGUGGCUAUACUACCGCUUUUGGAUGGGCCCGCGGCGCAUUAGCUAGUUGGUAGGGUAAAGGCUUACCAAGGCAAUGAUGCGUAGCCGAAUUGAGAGGUUGAUCGGCCACAUUGGGGCUGAGACACGGCCCAAACUCCUACGGGAGGCAGCAGUAGGGAAUCUUCCACAAUGGGCGAAAGCCUGAUGGAGCAACGCCGCGUGGGUGAAGAAGGUCUUCGGAUCGUAAAACCCUGUUGUUAGAGAAGAAAGUGCGUGAGAGUAACUGUUCACGUUUCGACGGUAUCUAACCAGAAAGCCACGGCUAACUACGUG